UGCUCCAAGGUCUGCCCUGUGCAUUGAUGAGCCUAUGGCAGGGCAAGUGAGAUGACUGUCAUGAGCUCUGCAAGGACACAGCAGUGAGGACAUGGCAAGGACCCAGCAGCAGGGACAUGGGCACAAGCAUGUGGGUGCCCCAGCUCUCACUCCCUCUAAGCAAAACCCUCUGUGCCCCAAGGUGCAGCAGCUGGCGCGACCACCCAGGAUAUCGGAAGCUCCCCAGGCAUGGCGCUGGCAGUGGCGGCCGUCGGCCUUGUCCUCCUGUCUGCAGGCAGCUGGUUUUCCAUCAAGAAAGGUGCCUGCAGAGGGAGAUGCCCAAGGCAGCAGCACGUUGACAGCCCACAGAUGGAAAUCACUGACAAAGGCAAAGUCACAUACUCCACCAUCGCCCACGUUCGACGGGACAGGGUGAGUCAUGGCACAGCUGUGCACAGCUCCUUUCUGC
rnacentral:lncRNA from 1 species